rnacentral:rRNA from 1 species
ACUCCUACGGGAGGCAGCAGUGGGAAUAUUGGACAAUGGGGGAAACCCUGAUCCAGCCAUGCCGCGUGUGUGAAGAAGGCCUUCGGGUUGUAAAGCACUUUCAGUGGGGAGGAAAGGUUACAGGUUAAUACCCUGUAGCUGUGACGUUACCCACAGAAGAAGCACCGGCUAACUCCGUGCCAGCAGCCGCGGUAAUACGGAGGGUGCAAGCGUUAAUCGGAAUUACUGGGCGUAAAGCGUGCGCAGGCGGUCUGUUAAGCGAGAUGUGAAAGCCCCGGGCUCAAGCCUGGGAACUGCAUUUCGAACUGGCAGACUAGAGUCUUGUAGAGGGGGGUAGAAUUCCAGGUGGUAGCAGGUCGAAAUGCGUAAGAGAUCUGGAGGAAU